UCAGUUUUACUUUUGUUCGGUCUUUAAA
rnacentral:piRNA from 1 species